CUACACUAUAAGUGCACUUUCUAAUAUAUAUAGUACUGCUCUUGCAACGCCGAAUUUCUGUGGUUCUAUUCGGACUCAAUAUAUUAAACUUAUUUUUGAAAAUUGGCGGAGUGCUUGAAGCCUGCUUCACCUCCACCGCAGGUCGGCUCGGCAUUGCACUAUCUUCGGCAUCGGCCCACGCAUU